rnacentral:rRNA from 1 species
UACGAAGGACCCGAGCGUUAUCCGGAUUUAUUGGGUUUAAAGGGUGCGUAGGCGGACUUUCAAGUCAGUGGUGAAAGCCCAUCGCUCAACGAUGGAAUUGCCAUUGAUACUGUUGGUCUUGAGUACGGUUGAAGUGGGCGGAAUGUGUCAUGUAGCGGUGAAAUGCUUAGAUAUGACACAGAACACCUAUUGCGAAGGCAGCUCGCUAAGCCGUAACUGACGCUGAGGCACGAAAGUGUGGGUAGCAAACAGGAUUAGAUACCCUGGUAGUCCACACCCUAAACGAUGAUAACUCGAUGUUGGCGAUACACAGUCAGCGUCUAAGCGAAAGCAUUAAGUUAUCCACCUGGGAAGUACGACCGCAAGGUUGAA